rnacentral:rRNA from 1 species
CACGUAGGGGGCGAGCGUUGUCCGGAUUUAUUGGGCGUAAAGAGCUCGUAGGCGGCUCAGUAAGUCAGGUGUGAAAACUCCAGGCUCAACCUGGAGACGCCACCUGAUACUGCUGUGGCUAGAGUCCGGUAGGGGAGCAUGGAAUUCCUGGUGUGGCGGUGAAAUGCGCAGAUAUCAGGAGGAACACCAGUGGCGAAGGCGGUGCUCUGGGCCGGAACUGACGCUGAGGAGCGAAAGCGUGGGGAGCAAACAGG